AUUGAACGCUGGCGGCAGGCCUAACACAUGCAAGUCGAGCGCGAAAGUCUUCGGAUGAGUAAAGCGGCGGACGGGUGAGUAACGCGUGGGAAUCUGCCUAGUAAGUGGGGGACAACGUUCCGAAAGGAACGCUAAUACCGCAUACGCCCUACGGGGAAAGGGGGGGAGUCUUCGGACCUCUCGCUAUUAGAUGAGCCCGCGUCGGAUUAGCUAGUUGGUAGGGUAAAGGCCUACCAAGGCGACGAUCCGUAACUGGUCUGAGAGGAUGAUCAGUCACACUGGAACUGAGACACGGUCCAGACUCCUACGGAGGCAGCAGUGGGGAAUAUUGGACAAUGGGGGCGAACCCUGAUCCAGCCAUGCCGCGUGUGUGAAGAAGGCCUUAGGGUUGUAAAG
rnacentral:rRNA from 1 species